rnacentral:rRNA from 1 species
UACGAAGGGGGCUAGCGUUGCUCGGAAUCACUGGGCGUAAAGGGUGCGUAGGCGGCUUUUUAAGUCUGGGGUGAAAGCCCGCUGCUCAACAGCGGAACUGCCCUGGAUACUGGAGAGCUUGAGUACAGACGAGGUUGGCGGAAUGGACUGAGUAGCGGUGAAAUGCAUAGAUACAGUCCAGAACCCCGAUUGCGAAGGCAGCUGACUAGGCUGUUACUGACGCUGAGGCACGAAAGCGUGGGGAGCGAACAGG